CUUUUUUCUUUUUUUUUUUUAAGAUUUUUAUUUAUUCAUGAGAGACACAGAGAGAAGCAGGCUCCCCACAGGGAGCCCGAUGCGGGACUCGCUCCGGGUGUUCGGGAUCAGGCCCUGGGCUGCGGGCGGAGCCCCCGCGCCUUGCCCCACAGUGAGAAGGGAGCUGGGCGCCGCUGACGCUGUCCCGCAAGGUGGACAGGCUCCCCGCGAGAGCAUUCCUCAGCUUCCCAAGCUCUGACUCCCGCUCCUGCGGGAGCCGCUCUGGAGACACGGCCAGCCUUGGAAGCCUGCUCCGGUGUGUACAAGUCACACGAAGCACGCCCUUUCCGGUGUUGCCACGGGGCCUGGAUGGCCGUGCAGCUGCUCAUCUGUCCGCGGCCCACGCGGGACUCGCCGGAGGCCACGGUGGGGAGAGGAGCCUCACAGGGAGGGACGGCGCUCUUGUUGGCGUGGGGCCGCCGUGGCGCAGGAGGCCCUGCGGGGGGACAGCCUUUCAGGCGGGACUCCCCGCCGUUCUGCUGCUUUUGAUCAUUUUUAAUAAACCCGUGAGCGUCGCGGCGGGCCAGUCUCAGAUGCUUCAAAGGCGCGCCCUCCAGCCCGCUGGGCCGUCUGCUCCAACCGCAGCUUUCCCAGGGAGCUUCAGUGUCUCAACUACGAGGGCUGAGAAACACUGCUACAGGGCAGUGUGGUGAAAAUCGGGGGCAAUUAGCACGUUUGCUUAUUUCGCACACCUUUUCUUAGCCACAGCAUACGUUCGAGAAGGUUGGUAGAUCCUCCAUAUUCCCGUCUCUAUCCCAAGUCCUCGGCAGCGGGUGGGCCCUAGACACCAGGGGCUCCCGGGAGCGCGGGCUCCGAGUUCUCCGAAAGUGGAGAAUGGAGAAAAAGCAUAUUUUUGUCUCCUCUUUUUAUCUGACGCAUCCGAGCCAAGUCUGCGACUGUUUACACAACACAGAGGCACGACUGAGGCUGUCACUGGAGCUGAGAAGUUGUCUAUGGACAUUCCUCUGGGCCGGUGGUUCGCACUCGGGCAGACUUGGCCCCCCAGGGGACACGUGCCAAUGCCUGGAGACUGGCUGUCGCGACGGGGACUGCAGAGGUCCUUAGAGGGCAGAGCCCAAAGACGCUGCCCAACAUCCUACAACGCAAAGGACAGCCCCCCAAUGACAACCGCCGGCCUCCAAUGCUAGUAUCGCAGGGUCUGAGAGACCGGGACUUAGGUCAAAGUUAGUGGACGGUGUCAUCCGGAGGCUAAGGUAGGUGCAGGGGCCACGUUCUCACGUCCUCGUCCCACACGCUUUCCUCGGUACAGUCGGGAGCCCCAUCCGUACGGGGACACAGACCCCCGUCUCCAGUGCCACGGAGACUCCUUGUUGCACUGCUCUGUAGCCACCCAACAGACCACAACACUGACACCCUUGAGAACUUUGGAGAAAUGGGUGCUGGGUACACGGAGCACCCCUGGGGGCGUGCACCUUCACAUUCGCAGCUCAGUGUAGAGAAAUCAUACUCCCUUUCUCCAAAUUGAUUUAAUUAAAAUUCCUCAGUUCAACUAGGGCCAAAGAAAAUUCAUAAGCAGGGGCGCCUGGGGGGCUCAGUGGGUUAGCAGCUGCCUUCGGCUCAGGUCACGAUCCUGGGGUCCCGGGCUGCACCGGGCUCCUUGCUCCGCGGACAGUCUGCUCUCUCGACCUGCAGCUCUUCCUGCUUGGUGCGUGCUGCACUGACAAAUCAAAUCUUUAAAAAAAUUCAUAACCGUCACUGUAAGACAACGGACAUUCACGAAUUCUCACUUGCAAUAAUUAAGUAAUUAAUCUUCUGAGAAGGACAGCUCUUCUGAAGGAAAUCAUGGCAAGAUUACAGGAAGGUGCGAUCACCUUUACUUACUUAUAUUCACGGACUUCUUUCAAUAAUAAGUAAUAAUGUCCGGAUACUCCAUAGUUGUUUUAGUGAAUCCUAGAUUUCAUUUAGAGCCACAACCUCUGUCUCACAAGUUAAAACUCCCCAGUUUACUUCGAUGACGAAAUCUUCCAGUUACUCGUUCUCAAGGAUUGGGCAGGCCGUAAAGUUUGGCUUUGUCGUCGUCUCAUGGAAGUCAUAACCAAGCCAUUUUCUCGAACAGCCUUCCUAAGUCGCAGUAGCUAGACCUGAGGUAUGCAGGGAGCGCGCCCCAGGACGAGGAUGACAGCAGGGGCCGGAGGAAUGCAGCUACAAGCCGGGGAGCGCCGGUCACUGCUGCGGACCCCAGAAGCCGGGAAGAGACAGAGAAGGGUCCUAACCCAGGGCCCCCGCAGAAUGCCCCAGGCCCGCACCCCCAUUUCUGACUUCUGCCUCCAGAAACGUGCAGCAGCAAGUUCCUACUGUUCUAAGCCACCUGGUUUGCGAUGCUGUUAAGGCAGCUCAGGAAAUGAAUAAAGAUUUGGGUAUUUCUUAUUUGUCACAAAAUACUCUUAAAUCUAACACUGUUACUGUCCGGUUUGU
rnacentral:lncRNA from 1 species